UCUAGACCCAUCUAUGUAAUUUAGUGGUGUUUAACAUGCUCACCACAAGGUGGCGCAUCAUUUCGAUACCCAUUGUCAUGGUCGCGGAGUGCGCUGCGUUCUCUUUGAUACGAGACGCCGAUGAAUCGAUGUAAUGACUUGAUGAAUGCAGUGAGAUUAACACAGUGAGGAUCGAGUUUUGUAUUUUCUUUUGGAUAAGAAGAACUGUUUCACCAUGCAAACCUUCUGUAUGAGCUCCGAUUAAGGAAUAGAGCAUUCUGAUUCUGAAUCCUGGGAUGUUCAGUGGCGAGCUAGGACGAUCAAUUGACUGAGAAGAGGCACGGUGUGGCCGGCCGUGGGAUCCGCUCCGGAGAACAACAGACCAUCAACUCACUUCACUCUCUGACAUAGAUAAGAACACAAAACACACACAAUCUACCUGGGUAAUUGUACUCUUCAAAUUUAAAAGAAGACACUUUUAUUUAAAUUUUAUUUAUUUAUUUUUCCCAAAAGAGCUCUUUUUUUGUAUUUUAUUUUCAUUAUUGCAAGUUCAUAAUGGUGAGGCAAUAAAUUGUCAAUUGUUCACUUCCUAA